CAUUCUGGUGUGCUUAUGCAAAUGAGGGAUGUAAAUUUGGUGAGUUCUGAUUGGUUGAGGCCUGUUGAUUUCUGAUUGGUCAUAGUCUUGGUUGAUUCAGGCAUCAUAAACAGGAACAGAUAGCUAUGAAAGUCUCAAAGUUAACCAAGCCCAGAGCUUUUACCCUGAAUGCAGAGUACAUGUGUGACCUCUAGGAAGCAAAUGGCUUCUUGGCUCUAUUUUUGAAUUUAGGUCCCAUUAGCCACUCAGAAUCCAUCUUGAAGGACGGAUUAUUUUAGGAUUCACGAUCUCUGGUGAGUCACCUUCUCGCAUUCAUGUCCUUGUGUAGAACCCUCCCAGGUGUAUGACUUCGCUUUGGCCAUUGGGACACCAACCUAUGUGAUGUAAGCAGAGGCUCAAUCGAUAUGUGUGCACCACGGCGAGCCCUCCCACUGCCUAGCAUGUGAUGAGGCCAAGGCAGCCAUGCAGAGAGAUCACCUGGAGAAGAACUGAGAUGUCCCCCAGCCCCACCACAACUGCCAGACACGUGAAUGAGGCAUCAGACCGACUUGCCAUCUGAGGCCUGUUGCUGGCAUCUGACUCUCCCCAAGAACACAAAUCAAUAGUUAACACAGAAACCACACUCUAAAGAGAAGCUGGUUUCAAGAUUGGCUGUUGCUAUUUGCUUUCAAUUGAAUGUAUGUAUAUAGAUAGGUACGUGUUUAUGUAUUUGUUUAUUUGUACCUAAACGUAACAUUUUUCAGUUGUCUUUUGCAGAAGAAACAUAUAUAUCUUGUAUCAUAGAUAUGACUGACUGAGAGAUGGGAACACUUUUACUUUUUCUUUUAUUUUUUUGAGACAGAGUUUUGUUCUGUCACCCGGGCUGGAGUAUAGUGGCAUGAUCUCGGCUCACUGCAACUUCUGCCUCCUGGAUUCAAGCAAUUCUCUUGCCUCAGCCUCCUGAGUAGCUGAGAUUACAGGCAUAUGCCACUAUACCCAGCCAAUUUUUGUAUUUUUUGUAGAGACGAGGUUUCACCAUAUUGGUCAGGCUGGUCUCAAACUCCUGACCUUGUGAUCCACCUGUCUUGACCUCCCAAAGUGCUGGGAUUACAGGCCUGAGCCACUGUGCCCAGUCAGGAACACCGGUUCAAACUAGAUUGG
rnacentral:lncRNA from 1 species